GACGAACGCUGGCGGCGUGCUUAACACAUGCAAGUCGAACGGAAAGGCCCUGCUUUUGUGGGGUGCUCGAGUGGCGAACGGGUGAGUAACACGUGAGUAACCUGCCCUUGACUUUGGGAUAACUUCAGGAAACUGGGGCUAAUACCGGAUAGGAGCUCCUGCUGCAUGGUGGGGGUUGGAAAGUUUCGGCGGUUGGGGAUGGACUCGCGGCUUAUCAGCUUGUUGGUGGGGUAGUGGCUUACCAAGGCUUUGACGGGUAGCCGGCCUGAGAGGGUGACCGGCCACAUUGGGACUGAGAUACGGCCCAGACUCCUACGGGAGGCAGAAGUGGGGUAUAGUGCACAAUGGGCGGAAGCCUGAUGCAGCAACGCCGCGUGCGGGAUGACGGCAUUCGGGUUGUAAUCCGCUUUCGCCUGUGACGAAGCGUGAGUGACGGUAAUGGGUAAAGAAGCACCGGCUAACUACGUG
rnacentral:rRNA from 1 species